rnacentral:misc_RNA from 2 species
AACUCUCAACCCCCUUAUUUUGUAAUGAGAUAAGCGCGGGCUUGGAUCUGGCUGUUGCCGAUUCUAAUCGAAUCGACUCGGCUUAAAUAUACGAGCUGCCACUUACUUAAAGGUCAACUCGGCGUAAUAAUACUUUAUCGCUGGGCUUUAAACUAGGGCGCUUCUAAUGCGUAGACACAUCUAUAC